AAGACAGUGAUGUGGAGCAAAUCCCUAAAAACGGUCUCAGUUCGGAUUGUAGGCUGCAACUCGCCUACAUGAAGUCGGAAUUGCUAGUAAUCGCGGAUCAGCAUGCCGCGGUGAAUACGUUCCCGGGCCUUGUACACACCGCCCGUCAUACCAUGGAAGUUGGUAACACCCGAAGCCUGUAGCCUAACCGCAAGGAGGGCGCAGUCGAAGGUGGGAUUGAUGACUGGGGUGAAGUCGUAACAAGGUAUC
rnacentral:rRNA from 1 species